rnacentral:misc_RNA from 1 species
GAGAAGAGAGAAGGAGCGAGAGAGAAACGGGGACAAGGUUCUGGGAAGAGAGAAGGAACAAGAGAGAAGCACAAGCAGGGAGAGUGAUAUGAGAAGAGAGAAGGAACGAGAGAGGAGAAGGGAUCUGGAAGGAGAGAGCAGCAGGGACAGGGAUCAGAGAAGAGAGAGAGAUCGAGAGAGGAGCAGGGACAUGGAUCUGAGAAGAGAGAA